rfam:Danio rerio chromosome 9 genomic contig CTG875, GRCz11 reference primary assembly.
UCAUUGUCCAUUUGUAAGUCGCUUUGGAUAAAAGCAUCUGCUAAAUGACUAAAU